GUGUAUGGGGGUCAGUCGGUAUAUCCCAACAAGGACUAUGUAAUGGCUUCUUUCCUGUCUUGUGGUCCAUGACCACCAUCACAUGGGCCGAUCACAGGGAGGUCAUAAUAGUGAAGACCUUAGAAGAUUCAAACUCCUUCCUUGGCAUUGAGCACUACUCAGUUGUAACUGAGAUGGAGCCCGUCCGUUGUAGAAGUUCGUCUGAAAUCCAAUUCUGUCGUUGAAGUUCGGAUGG
rnacentral:lncRNA from 1 species